UACGUAGGCAGCGAGCGUUGUUCGGAUUUACUGGGCGUAAAGGGCGCGUAGGCGGCCUCUGCAAGUCGACUGUGAAAUCUCCGGGCUUAACCCGGAAAGGUCAGCCGAUACUGCAGGGCUAGAGUGCAGAAGGGGCAACUGGAAUUCUCGGUGUAGCGGUGAAAUGCGUAGAUAUCGAGAGGAACACCUGCGGCGAAGGCGGGUUGCUGGGCUGACACUGACGCUGACAGCGCGAAAGCUAGGGGAGCGAACGGG
rnacentral:rRNA from 1 species